rnacentral:lncRNA from 1 species
GUGUGUUCUUUUUAAAUGAUGAGAAGCUGUUGGAGUGACAGGACUUCUUUUCAGCUGCCAAGCUUUUUGUGUUUGCACUUUUCCUUAACGCUUCUUCCAGAUUAGGUUCUCCUUAAAUUCUGUUUGCGGCUGGAAGUGAUCCUAGACACCUCUGGCUCAGCUUCCCAACUCAUGCAGGAGAGGAACCUGAAGCUUAGAUAGAUUAUGGAACUCGCUCGAGAUCAUACAAGAAGUGGCAAUGCUGGGAUUUGAGCCCACGAUUGACAAAGCUUUUAUUCUU